rnacentral:lncRNA from 10 species
CAAGCACUGAAGGACUAGAUGUGUGAGCAAGGAGGCCAUCUUGGGGAACAGCCAGCCCAGCCGAGCCUACAGAAGACUCCAGCCCCAGUCAUUUGAUGGCAGCCACAGAAGGAAGCCAAGCAAUGCCCAGCUGAGCUCAGAUAAAAAGCGACUCAAGGGAGGACAUGUCUGUGUUUUUCUGCCUGACAUUGUUGUGUCUACACUGAUUUCUGGAACGAUGAAAGCUAUAUUCUGACCAUAAAGGGACAGCUCUCAGGACAGCCAGUAAGCUGAGGAUGACAGAGCGAAAAAGAGACAGCUUGUGUCCUGAAGUCAAUUCCAAAACCUC